UUGGAGGGCAAGUCUGGUGCCAGCAGCCGCGGUAAUUCCAGCUCCAAUAGCGUAUAUUAAAGUUGUUGCAGUUAAAAAGCUCGUAGUUGAAUUUCGGGGUUAGUAGGUUGGCCAUGCCACUGGUAUGUACUGGUCUCACUGAUUCCUCCUUCCUGAUGAACUGUAAUGCCAUUAAUUUGGUGUUGCAGGGAAUCAGGACUGUUACUUUGAAAAAAUUAGAGUGUUUAAAGCAGGCUUACGCUUGAAUACAUUAGCAUGGAAUAAUGAAAUAGGACGUUUGAUUCUAUUUUGUUGGUUUCUAGGAUUGACGUAAUGAUUAAUAGGGAUAGUUGGGGGCAUUAGUAUUCAAUUGUCAGAGGUGAAAUUCUUGGAUUUAUUGAAGACUAACUACUGCGAAAGCAUUUGCCAAGGAUGUUUUCAUUAAUCAAGAACGAAAGUUAGGGGAUCGAAGACGAUCAGAUACCGUCGUAGUCUUAACCAUAAACUAUGCCGACUAGGGAUCGGAUGAUGUUAAUUUUUUAAUGACUCAUUCGGCGCCUUACGGGAAAC
rnacentral:rRNA from 1 species